AUUGAACGCUGGCGGCAUGCUUUACACAUGCAAGUCGAACGGCAGCACGGACUUCGGUCUGGUGGCGAGUGGCGAACGGGUGAGUAAUACAUCGGAACGUGCCCAGUUGUGGGGGAUAACUACCCGAAAGAGUAGCUAAUACCGCAUGAGAACUGAGGUUGAAAGCAGGGGAUCGUAAGACCUUGCGCAACUGGAGCGGCAGAUGGCAGAUUAGGUAGUUGGUGGGAUAAAAGCUUACCAAGCCGACGAUCUGUAGCUGGUCUGAGAGGACGACCAGCCACACUGGGACUGAGCCACGGCCCAGACUCCUACGGGAGGCAGCAGUGGGGAAUUUUGGACAAUGGGCGAAAGUCUGAUCCAGCAAGGCCGCGUGCAGGAUGAAGGCCUUCGGGUUGUAAACUGCUUUUGUACGGAACGAAAAGCUUCGGGCUAAUACCCUGGAGUCAUGACGGUACCGUAAGAAUAAGCACCGGCUAACUACGUGCCAGCAGCCGCCGUAAGAC
rnacentral:rRNA from 1 species